GCGUCUACAAGGAUGGAGGGGAGCUACUC
rnacentral:piRNA from 1 species